CUUAAAAAAAUAAAAAUCUUAAAAAAAAAUUAGAUAUAAUUUACAUACCAUAAAACUCAUCUGUUCAAAGUGUAUAAUUCAGUGGUUUUUAGUAUGUUCAGAGCUGUGAACCCGUCACCAGAACCUAAAUUUAGGGCAUCCUCCCCUCACCCCUAGACCCAGAGAGAAACCCUAUACCCAUCGGCAGCCCCUCCCCAUUCCUCUCCACAUUCUAGAAACCUACCGCUCUGCUUUUUGUAUCUAUAGGUUUUCCCAUUCCGGACUCUCAUGCAAAUGGAACCAGCCUGUGGUCUUUUGUAGCUGGCUCCUUGCACUUAGCAUGACGUUUUCGAAGUUCCUCCAUGUUGUAGCAUCUAUCAGGACCUCAUUCCUUUUUCCGGCUGAAUACUACUCCACCGUACGGGUGAACCACAUUUCAUUUGUCCAUCCAUCCGUCGAUGAACAUUUGGUUUGCUUCCAC